GAUGGACGCUAGCGACAGGCCUAACACAUGCAAGUCGAGGGGCAGCACAUGAGUAGCAAUACGCUGGUGGCGACCGGCGCACGGGUGAGUAUCGCGUAUGCAACCUACCUUCCACAGGGGGAUAGCCUUCCGAAAGGGAGAUUAAUACCGCAUAAAACAGCGGCCCCGCAUGGGGAUAUUUGUUAAAGAUUUAUCGGUUGAAGCUGGGCAUGCGUUCCAUUAGCUAGUUGGCGGGGUAAUGGCCCACCAAGGCAUCGAUGGAUAGGGGAACUGAGAGGUUUAUCCCCCACACUGGAACUGAGACACGGGCCAGACUCCUACGGGAGGCAGCAGUGAGGAAUAUUGGUCAAUGGGCGGGAGCCUGAACCAGCCAAGUCGCGUGAAGGAAGACGGUUCUAUGGAUUGUAAACUUCUUUUGCACUGGGGUAAAACGGGGGACGUGUCCCCCCUUGCAAGUACAGUGCGAAUAAGCAUCGGCUUACUCCGUGCCAGCCGCCGCAGUAA
rnacentral:rRNA from 1 species